rnacentral:rRNA from 1 species
AUUGAACGCUGGCGGCAGGCCUAACACAUGCAAGUCGAACGAGUGGCGGACGGGUGAGUAAUGUCUGGGAAACUGCCUGAUGGAGGGGGAUAACUACUGGAAACGGUAGCUAAUACCGCAUACCAUCGGAUGUGCCCAGAUGGGAUUAGCUAGUAGGUGGGGUAAAGGCUCACCUAGGCGACGAUCCCUCGCUGGUCUGAGAGGAUGACCGGCCACACUGGAACUGAGACACGGUACAGACUCCAACGGGGGGCAGAAGGGGGGAAUAUUGCACAAUGGGGGCAAGACUGAUGCAGCCAUGCCGCGUGUAUGAAGAAGGCCUGCGGGUUGUAAAGUACUUUCAGCGGGGAGGCGUUACCCGCAGAAGAAGCACCGGCUAACUCCGUGCCAGCCGCCGCGUAAUUC